CCUACGGGAGGCAGCAGUGAGGAAUAUUGGUCAAUGGACGCAAGUCUGAACCAGCCAUGCCGCGUGCAGGAAGACGGCUCUAUGAGUUGUAAACUGCUUUUGUACGAGGGUAAACGCAGAUACGCGUAUCUGUCUGAAAGUAUCGUACGAAUAAGGAUCGGCUAACUCCGUGCCAGCAGCCGCGGUAAUACGGAGGAUUCAAGCGUUAUCCGGAUUUAUUGGGUUUAAAGGGUGCGUAGGCGGUCGGAUAAGUUAGAGGUGAAAUCCCGAGGCUCAACUUCGGAAUUGCCUCUGAUACUGUUCGGCUAGAGAGUAGUUGCGGUAGGCGGAAUGUAUGGUGUAGCGGUGAAAUGCUUAGAGAUCAUACAGAACACCGAUUGCGAAGGCAGCUUACCAAGCUACGUCUGACGCUGAGGUUCGAAAGCGUGGGUAGCAAACAGGAUUAGAUACCCGAGUAGUC
rnacentral:rRNA from 1 species